CCCCCCCCCCCCACCAAGCUGCCCACCAGAGGCCAAGCUGUACUUGGUGUUUGCCAACAUGCUGUAAUUUCCAGCCUGGUUGCUGUAGCCACAGAGGAAUUUUCAAGGACAAGAACCAGUGCUGGUAAAACUGUGGUCUCUGUGGUUUUCCAUACCGGCUCUCGGCAAGGAUUUUCAAGAAAGGAAUACCAUCUCCAAGAAGCAGACCCAGGAGGAACUGUCUGUUGAAGACCCCCCCCCCCCCCCCCACCAAGCUGCCCACCAGAGGCCAAGCUGUACUUGGUGUUUGCCAACAUGCUGUAAUUUCCAGCCUGGUUGCUGUAGCCACAGAGGAAUUUUCAAGGACAAGAACCAGUGCUGGUAAAACUGUGGUCUCUGUGGUUUUCCAUACCGGCUCUCGGCAAGGAUUUUCAAGAAAGGAAUACCAUCUCCAAAUCAUGAUGUGCCAAUAAGCUCCAGUUAGCUGCGGCCUUUUCCCCAGGCGGUAGUCCUGCAAUCUGAAUCCAGGAGAUGCAGCUCUGAAUCCAAUAUUUCAGAAGAAUGAAGAUGAAGCAGACCCAGGAGGAACUGUCUGUUGAAGACCCCCCCCCCCCCACCAAGCUGCCCACCAGAGGCCAAGCUGUACUUGGUGUUUGCCAACAUGCUGUAAUUUCCAGCCUGGUUGCUGUAGCCACAGAGGAAUUUUCAAGGACAAGAACCAGUGCUGGUAAAACUGUGGUCUCUGUGGUUUUCCAUACCGGCUCUCGGCAAGGAUUUUCAAGAAAGGAAUACCAUCUCCAAAUCAUGAUGUGCCAAUAAGCUCCAGUUAGCUGCGGCCUUUUCCCCAGGCGGUAGUCCUGCAAUCUGAAUCCAGGAGAUGCAGCUCUGAAUCCAAUAUUUCAGAAGAAUGAAGAUGAAGCAGACCCAGGAGGAACUGUCUGUUGAAGACCCCCCCCCCCCCACCAAGCUGCCCACCAGAGGCCAAGCUGUACUUGGUGUUUGCCAACAUGCUGUAAUUUCCAGCCUGGUUGCUGUAGCCACAGAGGAAUUUUCAAGGACAAGAACCAGUGCUGGUAAAACUGUGGUCUCUGUGGUUUUCCAUACCGGCUCUCGGCAAGGAUUUUCAAGAAAGGAAUACCAUCUCCAAAUCAUGAUGUGCCAAUAAGCUCCAGUUAGCUGCGGCCUUUUCCCCAGGCGGUAGUCCUGCAAUCUGAAUCCAGGAGAUGCAGCUCUGAAUCCAAUAUUUCAGAAGAAUGAAGAUGUUAGUCAACUCUGUAGUGCUUGUUUGUGUGUAAAUGAUUCCAAUGAGUGAGAUUUAUAGCAAAUCAGGUGUAAAUAAGCAUCUUAUAGACAAUAGUGAAGUGCUGUACUCUGAAUUUAAUGCCAAAUCUAGCCUUCAAAACAGAUUCUUAAAGUAAAUUUUUUUUAAAAAUGGGCAUAAUAAUGCUAUCUCUGCAUUUUCUACAUCAUGUAGCCACCUCAUACAUGAAAACACUAGCAGUUGUCAUGAAUCUUUAAGUUUAAAAAUCUUAAAAGAGUAGGCAGGCCAGUUUUGUGGUGCUGUUCUAUAGACACCAUUAAAAGCUACAAGGAAAACUUUACUUGGUCAAAUUAUUCCAAUGCAUCAGGAAAUAAUGGCUCUUCAAAGGUUUGCGGCUUAACAUUUGAGGGAAAUGGCUGUUUCUGCUUUUUAUGAAAAUACCACAGGUGCUAAUACUUGUCUCAUUCAUUUAGUGUUUGAUAUAUCAUUGCCAAACUUUCAGUAUGUGUUGCAUAUAGCCUGAAGCUGAACUAUAGGAGUUUUGAAGUCUGUUUCUGAAAAAAUGUUGCUUAAAUAGGCUCAAGACCACAGUUAUCUGCCCCCCGUUGACCAAGAUCCGGAUGUGAAUACAGAAACAAAGAGUGCUUGUGUUCAAGUAUCAAUAUUUUAUUAAAAUUGAAUGAAAAAGAAGCAAAAAAUGUUCUUUUUGCAGAGAACUUGACUGAAUUUGACACUCUAUUGCAGAAAUUGAUAGUUUUCAAUGUAAAUAUUGGAAAAAUCAUAGCUUGUGGAAGUCUGAAAAUUAGUUGUUUGUAGCCGAUUGACUCCCUGGCGGAAGGGUUAUGUAUUUGAACUCAAUUUUGACAGUCGGGUCAAUGGUCAACAUGGUGUUUUCUUGUGAUUAUAUUUUGUGUCUUGAAUUGUUCUAGAGAUGCCAUGUCCUUGUUUUUCAAUUUGGGUGUGUAUAAAGUCAAAAGCCAGGUUAGUGUCUAUAUGAAACAUAUAGUAAAAAUAACUGUGGUCUCACGCCAUAUAACCACCUGUAAACCCCAUUUCGUCAGUUUUAUUUCGGCGUAAAAAUACACACGAUAGUUCGGAAAAAAGGUCAAAACACUAAAAUUCCUUAUGGACGCAUAAGUUGUUUAAAGUAUAACGACGUAUCGACUUUGAAAUUUGAAAGGAAUAUGGGAUGUUUUCCGUGUUUUAAUUUUGUUUUUUUUACUAAUUUUGUCACUUUCUUUGAACUUACCUUCAUGCUCGUUUGUUGGUAAAAUGUGUGAAAAAUAUCAAUUCAUCAAUUAAAAGCUAUCAUUCAUAAGACCAAACAAAUCCAUAUGAAAACAAUGAAUUUGUAUACAAGAACCCUCCCCCACUCGUUAAGCACAACAAUAGGCCGAUAGAUCAAUUAUCGGGUGAUUGACGAUGACCUCGACGACACGCGUACCAAUUAACGGAUUAGUGUCAACAUGUCCUGUGUUUUACGACCAGUGUCCCGGACAGGCAAAAUAGCUGACUUACAUUGGUAAAAUUAAGAUAAUCGAUUCCGAUUCCGAGAUUAUUUUUUUUUCUUCUUUUUUUAUGACUUUCCGGGACAAACAUGCACCCUCCGUGACUCCGUGACAGAGAUACGAUUUCCGGGACAAUCACGGACGUCCGGGACGUUAUCACAUGUAUGAUUUAGAAUUUAAUUGGCAUAGUUUUGUUUUCAACAAAUCUAGUGAUAAUUUGUUGCUCAUUAUUUCUCACCUGCAAUAGAACUGCUUGAUGUUAUUGAUCAAAGAAUCUCCAAAUUACAAUUUUGAUUGUAAUAAGUACUUUAUAUGGGUUGUGGUUUUGUUUAGUUGUUCAAUGUUUUAUACUCAAAGUAGCUUGAAUUUUGAUUCAAAUUGUUGCAUCUUGCCAUCAAUCUUGUUCACUCCAGUUUUUGUGAUGUCUGUGUAUUUUGUUCAGGUUUAAGAAAUAGAUUUACCUCAUACUAUUUCUAACAGCUUUUAACCUAUUACCUCAUAUCAUUGCAUAGGUUAGUACCAUAAUAUCAACACCUAGCUCAGGCUAGCUGGUCAAAAUUUCUAGUCAACUUGUUAUGUGUUUAUAUAUAUUUGUUCGUAUUUUACUUUAUAAAAUGUCUGUGAUUUAAUUCUUGAUUAUGAUGUGAUUUACUGUAAUUUUAUGAUUCUGUUAUCCUCAAUCAUUGUCAAAUUAUUUUUA